UAGGGAAUCUUGCGCAAUGGGCGAAAGCCUGACGCAGCCAUGCCGCGUGAAUGAUGAAGGUCUUAGGAUUGUAAAAUUCUUUCACCGGGGAAGAUAAUGACGGUACCCGGAGAAGAAGCCCCGGCUAACUUCGUGCCAGCAGCCGCGGUAAUACGAAGGGGGCUAGCGUUGCUCGGAAUUACUGGGCGUAAAGGGCGCGUAGGCGGAUAUCUAAGUUGGGGGUGAAAGCCCGGGGCUCAACCUCGGAAUAGCCUUCAAUACUGGAUAUCUUGAGUUCGGGAGAGGUGAGUGGAAUGCCGAGUGUAGAGGUGAAAUUCGUAGAUAUUCGGCGGAACACCAGUGGCGAAGGCGACUCACUGGCCCGAUACUGACGCUGAGGCGCGAAAGCGUGGGGAGCAAACAGGAUUAGAUACCCUGGUAGUCCACGCCGUAAAACGAUGAGUGCUAGUUGUCGGCAUGCAUGCAUGUCGGUGACGCAGCUAACGCAUUAAGCACUCCGCCUGGGGAGUACGGUCGCAAGAUUAAAAACUCAAAGGAAUUGACGGGGGUCAUAGCUGUUUCCUG
rnacentral:rRNA from 1 species